rnacentral:rRNA from 1 species
ACGCCGCGUGAGUGAUGAAGGUCUUCGGAUCGUAAAGCUCUCUCUUCAGGGACGAUAAUGACGGUACCUGAGGAGGAAGCCACGGCUAACUACGUGCCAGCAGCCGCGGCAAUACGUAGGUGGCAAGCGUUGUCCGGAUUUAUUGGGCGUAAAGCAUGCGUAGGCGGAUAUUUAAGUGGGAUGUGAAAUCCCGGGGCUUAACCCCGGUGCNUGCAUUUCAAACUGGAUAUCUAGAGUGCAGGAGAGGAAAGCGGAAUUCCUAGUGUAGCGGUGAAAUGCGUAGAUAUUAGGAAGAACACCAGUGGCGAAGGCGGCUUUCUGGACUGUAACUGACGCUGAGGCAUG